rnacentral:ribozyme from 1 species
AGAUCACAACUUCAAGGCCACAGCAGAAGUGCUUAUGGUGUAGCCUGUCAGAUUCCAGUGAAAUCUGUGAAUUCUGCU